UGAACAUUAAUAGGCGUGGCAUGAUUCACUGGUGGGAUCUUCCGUGGCACUAGUGGGUGAAAGAGGCGAGGCGUGUGGCGGGCCGGGCGGUGCAGGGGACCAUGGAUGCUGAACUAGGGAAGGACCUGCCGCAGCCCUGGAGUUAUGCUGUUACUCAGGACGGACGCAUCUUCUUCAUCAAUGAGGAGGCACGCUUGACCACUUGGCUCCACCCACUCACUUGCCAGCCUGCCCUUACUGGCCACCGCAGUCUGCCAGACCUACCUAAAGGAUGGGAGCGAGGCGUCACCCCGGAGGGCAUCCCCUACUAUAUCAACCACAACCGGCAGGAGACCACGCUGGUCCACCCCGUCACUCACAAGACAGCACUCCAGGCCGAGGCCAUCCCUCCUCCCCCUCCUGCGGCGACCCAGCGGUGUGAGGCAUCAUCAGCAGCGCCUGUUCCCAGCGGCCUCAACAACCAUGAGUCCAGGAAGGGGGCUGGCCGUCGGCGUGGAGGCUCUUGGGUGAAGACUCCAGGUGCGCGGCGGCCCGAGGUGGCCCCCGUCACCCUCCAGGGAUGGCUCUACAAACAAGGGGCCGAUGGACUCCACCUAUGGAAGAAGCGGUGGUUCGUGUUGUCAGAGUACUGCCUCUACUACUACAAGGGUCCCGAUGAAGACAAGGUGCUGGGGUCCCUACCGCUGCCUUCCUUCAAGAUUAGCCCUGUAGAUUCCGAGGACCGCGUGUACCGGCGCCAUGCCUUCAAGGCGGAGCACCAGAACACCCGCACCUACUACUUCGCCGCCGAGACCAAGGAGCAGAUGACCCACUGGAUGAACGCUCUCUCCCUCGCGUCUAUCCUGCAGAAAGACACAAGCAUUGAGGAGAAGCUGAGCAGCGGCAGCAGUGCGCGACGCAGCGAGAGGCCCUCCGUCUCCUCCCUCGCCUCCACAGCCUCGCCCUCGGCAGACGAGAGUGAUUCGGGUUUUCACGGGUACCGCUCCCGCCGGUACCGCUCCCCCGACGGCCGCUCCCUGGACGAGGCUAGUGAAUCCUCUCGGCUACAAGGUGACCGUCUUAACACAUCAUGUGACUCAUCUGUCAUCCUUCGGCCUGGUGAUCGUCAACCUCUCUAUGCCAACGCUCCUCCAAAACCCAAGAGGCUUAACUCCUCUCGGGAUUAUAGCACUUCUCCUGAACGUUCCCCUGAAAGAGACGAGCGGGACCCACGCACUUAUACUGAUCACGGUGGUGGAGGCAGCAGUGGAGGCUGCAGCAGCGGUCUAGAAACCCGUGGUGUUCAUUACCACCCACCUUCAGCAGAGCGAAGGACUCCUGAUGCAUAUGGAGUAACAGCUGGUGGAGGUCGUGGGGACUAUGAAGAUGUCUAUGGAGACAGUAAUGGCUCAAACUCUACCCCUCACAGUCCAAUACGGAGAGGAGAUCAACGAGACUCUUAUGCCUCUUCAAGGAGUGGAGGAACAAGAUUAUCAGAAGAGCUGCAAUUGUCAGAGCCACUGAGAUCCAAAUUCUGCAGACAAGAAGACACAUUACCUAGGGACUCACACCACCGUCACUGCCCAACAGGACCACCCCGGCCACACAGUGCUGAUUUUCUUGAGUACGACCGAAGGCACGGGAAAAGUGAGAUGUGGUCGUAUCGAAGAGGAAGUGGGGGUGACCUAAUAGGGCCUAAUGACACAAGACCAAAGUCAUCUGUUGGUCAGAAUGAAUCUGAUCAUUGGUCUGAGGAAAACUAUGCCCAGAAAAUGCGUCAGUCAUCUCUGUAUCACUCACAUAUGCACAGUAGAUCAGCACUACGCUAUUCUCCUGCUGGCCCUCCUGACAACCCCAUCAUUGAUCAUCACCACCUGCACAGCAAUCAUAGCAGUGGGUCACAGCGGGUUCCUCCAGCUGGAGCUGCCACACCUGAUCUCUAUACCCCACACAAACAGACCCCGGUGCCAACAACAAUGAAUGCAACAAACAGCUUGAGGCGAGGCAUUGGUCAAGAGACACCUGAAAUGCCAAAACCGGACAUCGGUAUGGAUCCAAGAAGUGACAUGAAGCCAUACCCCAGACAUGCCCCAAGACAUACCCCACCUCAGCAAGACCUCAAACCAGAGCUGAGGCAUAACCACAGACCUGAUCCAUCACUUGAUCUUCGCCGGACGUACAACUAUGAAGAUGCUGCUCAGAAGCAUGAUGUGUCCCCUAACACCACACUGAACAGUGUUCCCACCCCACCAGGCAGCUACCCCAGCAGUGCCUCCCCCAAUGGCAGCGUGAAUAACAAUUUCAUGAGGUCCGCCUCGGCAAGGCUACCUCGCCAACGGUUGCAGGAUGAUGUGAUAAACACUUCUCUCCCAGAUGAUACCUCAGAUGGAGACACAAGGAAGAUGCAACAGCGAGAAGAAUCCAUGAAGCGACUACUGGAGUGGAAGCAGCGGAUGCUCCAGUCUCCUCUGACCCGCAAGCCCAAUGCUCGGCCUGAUGGCACCACCACACCUCAGCCCAGGACUAACCAUGAGGCUUACCGGCAGCAGGUGUUAAGUGAGCUUGCAAAUCAAGAAGCAAGAACGAAAGUCUUACAGAGUCAUUCUCACACUCAGAGUUAUGCGACCAGUCAAGAAACACACCCAGUGGCACACACAGGCCCAGUGGCAGGACAGUCCUUUGAGUACACAGGCAACCUAGGCACCUCACAGGGACAGGCCCCAUGUCAGAACAACUGGACUCCUGGUAUUCAGAAUGCAAACACUGGACAUAUGCAGCAUGGAGACUCAAAUCUAGGUGGCAUGUACUUCCCUCCUGGCAUGCCCAGUGAGCGCCCAGCACCUCAGGGAGGCUCCUCCCAGACUGGCUCUGACAGUGGGAGCAGCAAGAAAAGGGAGGGCCGCCGUGAGGCCUCAAGAACCAGACACGUGAGUGGUGAUGCUCGGCGAUCAACAUCAGCAUCACGAUACAACAGUUACUCCUCAGAUGAAGACGAUCUGCUGGAGGAACGAGAAACUCGGAAGAGAACAAGACGGAACUCAAGGAGGAGCAGUGCAGAUCUGAGUCGUGAUUCCAGGAGGCUUGUGAUGACUGCUGACACCUGUAAAAGUUAUGCGGAUGAUGACAGACUUCAAGGGUCUCCAGGAAACUUUGCCAGUGAUCAUCCACAGGCCGAUCCAUAUGUACCACAACAGACUUCUUUUAUUAACACUUCAAAGUCGUCUCCUGAUUAUGUGAACAUUAAUAUCGUGAGUGAAUCCCAGGAAGGAAGAACUACCGGUAUUGUCAGGAGUGCUACGGUGAGUGUGGAAAACAAAUAUGGUGAAAAGGCAGUAAGUCAGAGGGCUGAACCUGUGUUCAUUGAAAACCAUGAAGGAUAUGAUGAGGUACAGAGGUUUGACCAGCUGCCUCAAGAAGCAGAUCAACACCUCAGUGUUCCCAGAACUUGUGAGCAAAGUUUUGUGUACAGUGAUCAGAUAUAUGCAGCAAGGGAUCCCUAUUAUGUAUCUGAUGUGCAAUUACCUGCUAAAGCUGAUAAGUUUGAAGAAGAUAAAAGUGAUAUUUCUCCAAGCACUGGACUAAGAAGAGAAUAUAACAGUUCCUAUGGCACACAGAAUUCUGUACAAAGGAAAUACCAGAUGAAAAAUGAUUCAUUUGAAAUAACAGACUACAGUGGAGAUGGAUUAUCUGCUGACUAUAAGAAUUAUCACCAUGAUAUUUCAGUAAGAGAGGAAAGUUUAGAGAAUGCUGUUGGAUUCUCUUCCUAUGAUUCUCACAUAACUCACAAGCCAGAAAAUGUUGGCAUGCAUGCAUCCCAGAAGGGCAGCUCACAGGAUGACACCACAUCCACUGGUAAGUACUCUGACAGUGGUUAUGACACGCUGCGAGCAGAAAUGUCCCUUCGCAGGGAUGACAGAAGGAACCCCAGACCAGGUGCUUUGUGGACACCAGACGGUCUGGACAGCAGCCCCGAGUGUUCCAGUGUAGUGCGGAGACGUGGCUUUGACCAUGCAGGAAGACGGCCAGAGACCUGGAGCCCUGAGAAAUUUGACAGAUCAUGGGGAACAAUUGACUCAGACCUGAAAUCAAAAGUAGAUGAGUCAAAGGUUGUGAGAGAGUACAGCUAUGAGUAUAUUACUCCUGAGAAAAGUAGUGAUGCUGCUUUACCAGAUAGUUUUGCAAACUCCAACAUGAAUUUCAAGAAAUCAUCACCUUCUCUGACAUGCCUGGAGAGUCCCAGGAUGGUGCAAGAAACACAGCUUGCACAGAACCACAUGAAUUUAGUUCAGGAUCGCAUUAAGAAGUUUACAUCAAAGGCUUUAGAGACCAAAGAAAAUUACACAAAUAAUUAUGUUGGAGAGCCACAAAUGAAUAUGGGUAAGUUUGGAGAGUCAAAUAACAAUACUAAAAUGGCCUGCAUAAAUCCUGAGGUUCAGAAUUUUAGGGAGCCUCUGAAGGAACCUUUAAAGCCUCUCUCACCUCAGAUUAGGAGCUCUGAGGCAUUUGUCUCUCCUCUGAAAGCUGAAUUUGCAACAUCUGAGUCUACUGUAGUAACAGCACAAGAAGCUCAGGUCAAGAAUGUGUCUGAUUACAAGAGAAGGGAUGAAGUACUUGGCUCUCCACUGCCUGAGGAAUGUCCUCCAUCCAGUCUUAGACUCAAUUCUGCAUCUGAACCUUCAAGCAUAGAGUACCGGGAGCGGGAAUUGAGAAGUCCCCAAGACAUCAUGGAUUCCAGGUUAAGUCGUACAAACAUCAGGAAAUUCUUGUUCGAUGAUGAUGGUCACUCUGAGGAGCCCAAGCUUGAGCAGCCGACAACCAUUGUAAAGCCUCCCCUGAUGAAGAAGCCAACCCAGACUCGCUCAGUGAAAGCUCUUCUGAAGAACUUUGAGGAGAAGUCACUAGAGCAUAUGGAAAGGGUGAAUCUUAAUCAAGAUUGUUCAAGGAAAAAAUUUCAUAGUGAUUCUGAGAUGCUGUCAAAUGAAAGCUCCAGUGAUGAGUGUCAGAGUGAAGACCUGUUCACUGCUGCCCCAGAGAAAACAACUUUGUCUCCCACGUCCUCAGUCUUGGCAGAGCUCCGAAAGUCUGCUGAUGACAAGAAGGAUGAUGCAACACCACUUUUGCCACCACCCAGGCCACCAAAGAAGCCAACACUAGGUGGGGAAAUGGAUACUGUGGUAACUCCUGGUUAUCUGAGGUUGAGUCUUACAGAAUCCAUUCAGGAAUCUCUUAAGGUGCAAGAAGACAGUGAGAGUGGUGCUGAUGAGCCUAGCUGGAUGGAUACAACCCUUAAUAGUGAGCAGGGUAAGCAGAGCAGCCUACCCCUCAGUAAUGGUGAGUCAGCAAUUCUUGAUUUAGAUAAGCCUCCAGAGGAAGAAGCCCCACCACCACCACCUUUGUAUCCUCCCACUGAGAUUCAAAGUCCAGUAAUGAGACCGGAUCCAUACAAUGAGGAGAACUAUUUGCCCAUGAGUCCACCCAAGAAGCUUAGCCAUGGAUCCAGUGUCCUUGCUCCCGCCAGCUCUUGUAGUAGCCUAAGCAGCAAGCAUCUCCCUACACCAGAACCUAUCUAUCCAGAUAUCUUUGCCAAGACUGAAUAUGAAGAGCACACUUACAUAGAGAUGAGUGGAGAUGCUUCAUCCAGUGGAGCCUCUAUUUUAGCCACAGGUGGUCCUUCCAGGUUUGAUUUUGGCAGGACAAAUAGUGAGCUUUUAUUUCCUCCUGAAAGUCCUAGAUAUUAUGAAAUUGGUGAUAAGGAUGAAUGCCAGCACUAUGAAUAUAUUUACAAGGGACAACCCCAUUAUGAAGCUAUAUAUAUGGAAGUUCCAAACUCUGAAAAGGAGAACACAGGAGAAAGUGAAAAGCCUCAGAUUCCAAAUAAACCAGAUGAAUUGAAGGCUCAGCUAAAUGCAGACAGAAACUAUGCUUCAGAAUCUGCCCUAAACUCUUCGAUUAGUAAGCUAGAUUUAAAAUCUCAGUCUAAUGCAUCUUCUGAUGCUGAUGAUGAGGCUUCCAAGGACCUGGAGAGUCUUGACCCUCCCCGUAAUCCUCGCUUCAGCCUGUCGGACACCUUCCGACCAGCCUCUUAUUACCUGAGUGGUGCAGAACCAUCCAGUGAUCCUGAUGCACAAGACUCCUCAGACUCUGACCUUGUACCACCACCCCCAAUACCCAUGAGUCCACCACCUCUUGAUGAUCUGGAUACUGGGGGUCCCAAAGCCAAAAACUUUGACUUUGAUAACCUGGAGACGCCAGAUCCUCCGCCACAUCUUCGAAAUGCCCUAAGCUCUUCAAGGUCUUUAAGAGUCAGUCAAAGCAGUUUACGCGACGACCUUAGCUCCUCCAGAUCUUCAAUUGGAAAAGAUAAAAGAAUUUAUGAAAAAUCUGAGUCUUCACCAAGUCUUCAUACUGACAAGUUGAAACGAAGACCUGUCUUUGAGGAGACUCUUGAGAGUUUGCAUGAUGAUGACAAUUUUAUUUUGAGGUCUGAGGACCGUUACCCAGCCUCAGCAGCCUACCCUGAGGAUUGCUCAGCACCAGCAGCUGAGAAGUUCCAGCGAGAUAGACGGAAGCCUUUCCCACAGUGUGCCGAGGACAUCCUGCUCCCCGGAGAUAAACACGAACCUUCUGCUCGUCCCAAGUCUGCUCUGGACCACAAUUCAUCUUUCCAGGGAAAUUUAGAUACAUCUUACUCAUCAAAUAAUGCUGAAAACCCCUAUGUUAAUGAGGCCUUCCAGCAGAGCCUGAUGCAGCCUGCUAAUCCCUAUCAGAGUCCAGGGGAUGGAAGGGAAUACUGUAACAUCCCAUCAAAUGCAAAGAUGUUUAUGCAGCCAGAAAGAGAAAGAUCAAACUCCACUGGUUCACGGCCAAAGUCUCCAGAUCCCUAUGCAGAACGCAAUGAACUUUCUACUUACCAGAAUGUUCCUGCACCAAGAACAUCACUGUCAAAAAGAAAUUCUCCUCAGACCACAUCAGGAAGUGUUGAGCCAACAGGAUCACCAAUGAUUGAUGCUCUUCGUGGUGUUCACAGUCCAGUAGUCCAUCUGCAGCCAAAUCAUCAGAGGACAUCAUCAGAGGCUUCCUCCCGCAGUGUAGUGAGUCCAACAGCCAGUGUGUUGUCAGGCAGUGGCAGUCUGGCACCCAUUCACCUGAGAGCCACCUCCAAUGCGUCAGUGGGAAGUGAAACCAGUCCACGCUCUGCACCGUACUAUUAUUCUGACGUCAUACGUGAUGAUGCAGCAGUUGUCGCAGACGGUUUGGUUGGAACUCCACGCUCCCGGUCUUACCAGCUUAAUAAUCAGCGAGACCUGGAAGCCAAUAAAAGACAAGACAUUGGAAGGAAAGUUAAUCAGAUCAGCAGUUCUUCGGAUUUUGAACAGAGACGAGAAAGAUUAGCACAUGAGUUAAGGACAUCAAUGGAAUUCCUUGAAGGUAAAACGGUGUCAUCACCAGAUGAACGCAAUGUAUACGAUUCUGACACUUUGCGUAAAAUGAAGCGACGCGCUUACACACCUGAUCCUGAGCUGGAUGCCAAGAAUGUAUUCCCUCAUGGCCUCUCCAUCAAGACUGACAGUCCUCCUUUGGGUCCUCCAAUGGGCCAUCGUCGAACCCGAUCCCUGGAGGGACUCCUUGAUGACCCUCCUCGUCCUUUUGUUGGAGAAUCUAACAAUGUUCAAAGUCCCCUUGAUGUCAACAAGAUGUGUGGUGGAGGCCCAUCUCAGGGAUUCAAUCGGGCUAACACCGCAGCCUUUCCCAGCAGUUACUCAGCUCACUUUGGUAUGAGAGGAGGUGCAGGAGCUCCUUUGAACUCAGCCUCCCCCUCACCACAGGCUGCAGUUACUUCUAAUCGAGGGGCAGUUUCUCAGAUGGCUAGUCAACGAGCCUCUGUGAGCAGCUUCCAUAGCAGUGGAAGCUUGCCUCAGAGGACUACUUCUCCUUAUGCUACGUCACCUCUGCCCGUUUCCCCUGUGCCUCCUUACCAAGUGGGUAGUCGUGACAGUCUUGUCAGCAGAGAGAGCUCCACGAGUCGUAUCUCCAGCUAUGAUCCCCGAGUUGGUAACGAGCCACGCAGUCCUUCUAACCACGAAACUCUGCAUGAGGAACAGGACUGGGAGGAUGAUACUCAGUGGCGUGAACAGCUUCGUCGAGCUUCUUUGCGUCACACAAGAUCACUAGAAACCCUGGACGAGGGACGGCCACGGCGUGUUGGUGAUGGCGCUAGUAGAGAAGGUCGCCCUCCUGCCAAGCUUAGUGUGCCAAGUAAUGGCUGCCCAGUCCCUCAAGAAAGCAGUCAGCAGAGAUUGCAGCAGCUCCACUGGGAUGAAUACACGGUGGACUACAGGGAAGGACGCCUCGGCUCAAACCAGUACAGAAACAGCGGCCCUCUUCACUCUGAGACUUUGGAGAGAACCCGCCGUGGCCUCACGUGCCUCGAGGGUUACGAGUGGGAUGAGGCAGAGGAAAAGUUCAAGAAGCCUGGCCAGGCAGGGCGUCCUCAGCAGCCUCUGCCACAAUCCCCUCCCAACUCUGUAACACAUCAGCCUUUUUUAGUCGACGGCCUCCCACCUUCACCCGGGACGGAGGGCGAGGAACAGCGUCAGUGCCAGGUCAGCCCGGCGCCGCCCCCCGCCCACGCGCCUCCCUCCCCGCCUCCGCAGCUCCAGCAGCAUUUUUUAGCGGGCGGCGGUGAGGGCUCAGACGCAUCCUCGGGGGUAGGAGGGAGGCCCCCUGAUGAGUUUCAGGGGCGGGAAGAGCCUCCGGCCACAUCGCCCGCUUCACCCGUAGCGUCCCCAGCACCGCAGGACGCCACCUCCACACACCCAGUGCCUGACAUUAUCCCUCCACACGAUGUUAAACUUGGAGAAAGUCUACCUCGCCGGCUGGAAACCAACCCCACCUCUUCAUCGGGGACUCAGGGAUCCGGCCACACCCACACCCACCUACACGCCCACCACCAAAACUACCAGCACCAUUCCCACACCCACCACCAGAACUACCAACACCAUCCACACCCGCACUCCCAGAACCAGUACCACCACUACAAGAGCGACGACCUACACAAGUACCACCACUACCAGGGACAGAGCUACCAAAGCAACGGACCGUCUUACUCCAACUACCACGGGGGACACGGCUACCAUCAAAACUACCAGGAGAACCCUUCCACCUACGCCAACAACUAUAAACAUGCUCAAAACCGCGCCGUCACCAGCUAUCAGGAGGGUCAGCAGCCGCACCAGACCACCGUAAUCGCUGACUACAACACGCUCAGCAGCCAGCACAGCAGCGGGAGAGGCAACGGCACCUACAGGGCAGGCCACUAUGACUUCCAGGAUUAUCAUAACUACAAAAACCACCAGCAGGACUAUAAGCAUCACCAGCAAGAGUAUAAACAUCACCAAGACUAUAAACACCACCAGCAAGAUUACAAGCAUCACCAGCAAGAGUACAAGCAGCACCCCGAGUAUGCCACGUAUGACAAGCACCUGCGUCCCCACGACCAGCGGCUCAACGGGCGCCUGCACGGAGACCUUCACCAGCAGCAGCAGUUCUCAGACUCCGAGCUCACCGUGUCCAAACAGCAGCAGCAGCAGCAGCAGCAAGCAGCACUGGCGGCGGCACCGCCGGGUCAGGAUAGCGUGGAUGUGCGGGGUCUGCAGGGACUGAGUGCUGGGGAGUUGCUGGGCAAGACUCACGAGGAGUUAGUAUUACUCCUCAUUCAACUCCGACGCCACCACUCGGCCCUGCAGUCAGCGAGGCACCACUCCCGCGUCGAGAGGGACUCCCAGGCCCGCCUGGCACAGCUAGACGGGGAGCACCGUGACGACCACCUGCGCCGCCUAGCCAGUCUCAAUCACCACCUACACGACCUUGACAAACAGUACGAGAUGGGCAAGCCUCUCAUCAACUUGGUGGACAACAUGGUCAAGCUGGGCUCCCUGUACCGUGGGGGAGACUCCAGGCUGCCCCCCCACCAGGACCCACGAGCCAGACCUUACUACCAGGUAAAUGGCUUUGAUUCACUUCAGUUCUCCCGAAGAAUACAAGAAAGAAGAAUAGUGGCUGAGGAUCUACAGCUGCAGGAGCAUGAGUUGGCUGCUGCUGACCAGAGUGACCUGGAGGGAAAAGUGAUGCAAUUGUAUAAGUUGGACAAGAACCUGCACCAAGAAUCACUGACCAUUCAGAGCUUGCAGAGAGAGAAGGAGAUGCUGGAGCGUACCCUAGUUAAUCUACAGUCCAAGUCUCAUGGAGCAAAUGAAGGACCUGUAGAGCUUGAGCGCAGAAAGAAACAGAGACGACACUUGGAACAUGAGCUAUCCAAACUUCGUGCUCACCUUGCUGUAUCUGCAAGGAAACUUGAAGAAACUGCUGCUGAAAACAGUCGUCUGGAACAUGAAAUGAUGAUGCUGAGACAGAAGAUUCAAAUAACAAUGGCCCGCAACUGUCAGAAAGAAAGUGUUGGCACCACUGAAACACGCCACAUUGAAUCUGAGAUGAUGCGAGUGCAGACACUUCUGGAGGACUUACAGCGACGAAGAAUUGAAUUGAGUCACCAAAUACAGAAGUUAACAUCAGCAAAUCCUGGGAUAGAGAUCCGGCCUUCUCCAACUGGUGUGGUCGGUGCAGCUCCCAUACCAUCCAGGCGAAGAUCUCACAGCACCUGGCUGGAGACUGAUUUGGAUGCCAUGACCACCAGAGACAGAGGGAUGGACCCUCCAGAGACUGGCAGGCGGAGUAAUGCUCCCGUCUAUGUAAAUGCGUCUGGAUAUGGUGAUGAGAUCAGUCCCAAUGAAUAUUCAGAAAGUCCUGACUUCAAUGAUUCUGACUACCCUCCACCACCACCUGCACCUGAACACAUGCGCUCCUAUAACCAGCUCCUUGAUUAUGAAACUCCUAUAUUGGAUAAUUAUAAAUCAGAUCAAAUAUAUCUUCAAUCUCAGUCAUCUUUGGGAGAAGCAAAACAAAGACAGAUGUUUUUAAAUGGUGACAACUCAAUGAGACCGAUGAUGACACUGGACCGUGAUGCUGCUGACAACAAGCCAGAUGGAGAAGAGCAACAACAUCCAACAAACCAUAUGGAUAUUAAUGAUGCUGAUGACAGAAUGAAGAGAUACUAUGGCAUUCUUCCUAAAGAAAAACCUUUAGAAAUCAAAACAGUAAGAAUAGUUAAGAGGGAAUCAACAGAGAGAAGAAAAGAUCGCACAACAGGAAAGCGCGUAACAAUUGGGGAUUCCAGCCUGACUCACCUGCUGGAAGACGACGUGGAGAGUGAUGGCUUCUCAGAUGUGGAGAAUGAGGCUCCUCCCAUGCCUUCAUUUGCUUCCAGGUCUGCGUCUCUGCCACGUAACUAUGGCCGCAAUGGCCCGGGAGAGAAGGUCAGUAUGAUGGCAGCCAUGAUGAGGACCAGUGUAGGAAAUGCUGGAACCAUGACUCGUCCAAGCAAUCUCGCACUGAGGAAAACAAACUGGAAAUCCAAAAAUGAGAACCCCAAAGACCGACCAUUAAGUGCACAUGAGCAACUCUUUGGUUUCUCUCGUGAAUCUGAGCCAACACCCCCAGCCUCCCCCUCCAAGUCAGACCCACCCUCCCCUGUAUUCAAAAGUGCUGCUGCCAAAGAAAUUAUCAAGGAAAUGGCUUCUGAAGCUGAAAAGCAUCGCCGAGCAGUUCCAAAAGAGAAAAGAAGACACUUUACUAUCUCCAGUAGUCAUCCCUUAACACUAGAGACAAGGGACACAGGUGCUCAGGAGGGUGCCAGAUCUCGAGAUGACUGUGACAUGGAGUGUGCCUUAAGACCACGUAACCAUCCUGAUGUUGUCAAGUCAACUUUAAGUACAAGAGAUCUCCGCUUUAAUGAAUCUACAAUAGACAACAUUCUUGGUGCUCCAAAUAAGAUUUAUAUUCCUGAGAGAUAUAUGCCAGAUGCAGAUGAUGAGAAAGAGCCUACUGAGGAAGAACGGGUACACAGAGAACAGAAGGCUGAGUCAAUUCGGAAAAUGUUAUCAGAGACCCAGACCACAGUGACAAAAGGUGAAGCAGAGGAAAGUUCAUCGAAGCAUGAGGGUGUUGCCAGCUCCACGGCACUCAAAGCCAAAGUUGCAGCAGAGAAGAAGGAGCGAGAACAUCUUCUUGCUCUGAACCAGAUCCUUGCACGCCAGGUCAUGGAGAAGAGCCGAGUAGUAGCAGGUAUGGAGUAGAUCUGAAGACAUGCCAGAUCCCCUAAAUGCAUGCACACACCACAGUGGAGCCUCACCUGUAGCUGACCAUGUAGCACCAGUUCGAGCUCUUACCAUGUUGACCAAGCAACCAAGUUCUUCCGAUGAUGACCUCUCACCCAUGCAACCACUUCCUCUUGUGCAGCAACGGGA
rnacentral:misc_RNA from 1 species